rnacentral:rRNA from 1 species
AGCAGCCGCGGUAAUUCCAGCUCCAAUAGCGUAUAUUAAAGUUGUUGCAGUUAAAAAGCUCGUAGUUGAAUCUCGGGAUCAAUAUGUCGGUCGUGCCUUCGGUACGUACUGGCAUCAUUGAUUUCUCCCUUCUGACGAACCACGAUGUCAUUAAUUUGGUGUCAUGGGGAGUCAGGACUGUUACUUUGAAAAAAUUAGAGUGUUUAAAGCAGGCUCACGCUUGAAUACAUUAGCAUGGAAUAAUGAAAUAGGACGUUUGACCCUAUUUUGUUGGUUUCUAGGAUCAACGUAAUGAUUAAUAGGGAUAGUUGGGGGCAUUAGUAUUCAAUUGUCAGAGGUGAAAUUCUUGGAUUUAUUGAAGACUAACUACUGCGAAAGCAUUUGCCAAGGAUGUUUUCAUUAAUCAAGAACGAAAGUUAGGGGAUCGAAGACGAUCAGAUACCGUCGUAGUCUUAACCAUAAACUAUGCCGACUAGGGAUCGGAUGAUGUUAAUUUUUUAAUGUACUCAUUC